rnacentral:rRNA from 1 species
UUCCGGUUGAUCCUGCCGGACCUGACUGCUAUCGGAUUGAUACUAAGCCAUGCUAGUCUUUGUAGUAAUACAAGGCAUACGGCUCAGUAACGCGUAGUCAACCUACCCUAUGGACGGGGAUAAUCUCGGGAAACUGAGCAUAAUACCCGGCAGACCACUUAUCCUGGAAUGGUUAGUGGUUAAAAUGAUUCGUCGCCAUAGGAUGGGACUGCGGCCUAUCAGCUUGUUGGUGAGGUAAUGGCCCACCAAGGCGAUUACAGGUACGGGCUCUGAGAGGAGAGGCCCGGAGAUGGGUACUGAGACAAGGACCCAGGCCCUAUGGGGCGCAGCAGGCGAGAAAACUUUGCAAUGUGCGAAAGCACGACAAGGUUAAUCCGAGUGAUUUCUGCUAAAGGAAUCUUUUGUUAGUUCUAAAAAUACUAGUGAAUAAGGGGUGGGCAAGUUCUGGUGUCAGCCGCCGCGGUAAAACCAGCACCUCAAGUGGUCAGGAGGAUUAUUGGGCCUAAAGCAUCCGUAGCCUGUUCUAUAAGUUUGCGGUUAAAUCUAUACGCUCAACGUAUAGGCUGCCGUAAAUACUGUAGAACUAGGGAGUGGGAGAGGUAGACGGUACUCGAUAGGAAGGGGUAAAAUCCUUUGAUCUAUUGAUGACCACCUGAGGCGAAGGCGGUCUACCAGAACACGUUCGACGGUGAGGGAUGAAAGCUGGGGGAGCAAACCGGAUUAGAUACCCGGGUAGUCCCAGCUGUAAACGAUGCAGACUCGAUGAUGCAAUGGCACAGAGCUAUUGCAGUAUCGCAGGGAAGCCGUUAAGUCUGCCGCCUGGGAAGUACGUACGCAAGUAUGAAACUUAAAGGAAUUGGCGGGGGAGCACCACAAGGGGUGAAGCCUGCGGUUCAAUUGGAAUCAACGCCGGA